GACGUAGGAUGCAAGCGUUGUCCGGAUUUAUUGGGCGUAAAGAGUUCGUAGGCGGUUUGUUAAGUCUGAUGUAAAAGACUGGGGCUCAACCUCGGGACUGCAUUGGAUACUGGCAGACUGGAGUACGGUAGAGGCAAGUGGAAUUCCCGGUGUAGCGGUGAAAUGCGCAGAUAUUGGGAAGAACACCAGUGGCGAAGGCGGCUAUCUGGACCGGCAUUGACGCUGAGGCGCGAAAGCGUGGGGAGCAAACAGG
rnacentral:rRNA from 1 species